AGGUCAAACCAAACACAUUUCAAGAUAAAAUUAAAAUAAAAUAUCAAACAAUUAGAAAAAUAAAAUAAAAAAUAUAGGAAAUUAAAUAACAUCCUAAAAUAUAUUCAUGAAUUUUUGGAUCAUUAGAAGUAUUAACAUAAAAUCAGAAGGGAAAAAUAAAAAUAAAAAAAAUAGAAUGAAGUCACAUGGCAAAUGGGGUGCAUAAGUAAAAUGGAAAUAAACUGAAAACAUGUUAAUCACGCAAUGGGCCAAAACAUAUGGGGGUGGGAAAAUCGAAAGUUCCAGACCC
rnacentral:lncRNA from 1 species